UACGGAGGGUGCAAGCGUUAUCCGGAUUCACUGGGCUUAAAGGGUGCGUAGGCGGGCAGGUAAGUCAGUGGUGAAAUCUCCAAGCUUAACUUGGAAACUGCCGUUGAUACUAUCUGUCUUGAAUGUUGUGGAGGUGAGCGGAAUAUGUCAUGUAGCGGUGAAAUGCUUAGAUAUGACAUAGAACACCAAUUGCGAAGGCAGCUCACUACACAAUUAUUGACUCUGAGGCACGAAAGCGUGGGGAUCAAACAGG
rnacentral:rRNA from 1 species